AUUGAACGCUGGCGGCAGGCCUAACACAUGCAAGUCGAGCGGAGCGGCGGACGGGUGAGUAAUACCUAGGAAUCUGCCUGGUCGUGGGGGAUAACGUUCGGAAACGGACGCUAAUACCGCAUCCUAUCAGAUGAGCCUAGGUCCGAUUAGCGUGUUGGUGGGGUAAUGGCCCACCAAGGCCACGAUCCGUAACUGGUCUGCGAGGAUGAUCAGUCACACGGGAACUGAGACACGGUCCAGACUCCUACGGGAGGCAGCAGUGGGGAAUAUUGGACAAUGGGCGCAAGCCUGAUCCAGCCAUGCCGCGUGUGUGAAGAAGGUCUUCGGAUUGUAAAGCACUUUUAGUUGGGAGGCGUUACCGACAGAAUAAGCACCGGCUAACUCUGUGCCAGCAGCCGCGGUAAUAC
rnacentral:rRNA from 1 species